CUCUCAUCCCCGUUUCUUGUCGCCGAACACUUCCCUCUCUCGUCGCAUCGCUCCGUCACCGCCACCCGACGCUAUGCCACUCGUCGCCGGUGAAGCCCCACAGCAUCGGCCGACCUCGCAACUUCAAGGUCGGCCAAUCAUGGUGCCCUAGCCACAGUCGCUCCAUGCCCUAGCUCGUGAUCGCCGCUCUCUUCAUUGUCGACACCGAGCUAUUUCUGCCGCCGAUCUUUUCCUCCUUGGAUGACGCCGAUCAGGAGUCGAUCAAUGCAUCAGCGCCCAUAGACCUCAUUGAGCCAAGCCCUAGCCGUCGAUCCAUCGUCAUCUUCUGUGUCCAACGACUCCGAUCAACGGGUCUCUCUCUCCCUAGCUGAUCGUUGUCGGAGACCAUGCCAUAUCCUCCAUUGGGCGCUCAGUUCCUUUUGGAUCUUGGUCGCCGGUGGCAGGCUGCAGCCAUCGGAUCAUCUUCUUCGGCUAACCCUCUACUUCUAGGGUUAGCGUUGACCUCUCCCCUUGCUCCAACAUGAAGCUCCCGGCCAGGAUCUCUUAACUGCCCGAUAUUAGCCAAACAACAUGGUUCCGACCACAAGAAGCUGAGACGAAUCCCCAUUCUGAAUCAAAUCAUGUCCACCCUUGCUGGCCAGCGAUUUCUUGUGAUGGUGAGGGCAGCUGGACAGAAUGGAGCCUAGUGCCCUGGUACAGAGGUAACAAACAGAGGAGUUCGUGAUUUUUGGCAUUCGGCUUUGAUUUCAAUUGAUGUGGAAUGAGGAUUGCAAGGAAUGAGUUAUUUUGGAAUGUUUGUAGUUGUUGUUAGCCAUUGCAGCUUCAGCUGUGCUAUUCGUGGAUGAUCCAUGGCUCCGGCCAUCCUUCCGAUCUAAAGUCAUUCUUCAAUGGUGAGCUAUCAGCAAUCCACUUGAGUUCGGGUUUCGAGUUGGAUGUGAUCUCUUGGACUUGUUGAGGACUGUUGACACGACCUACAUAUAAAGACGGAUAGCAAGUAAAGGAUUUAUGGAGACGCUUGGAGAUCCUGUCCGCCAGUCCCAUGUCACACUGAGCUUCUCGUAUCGUUCGUGCUUCUAUACGCUUUAUUGGUUUUGUACUUGUUCGUGUAUUUGUAUCUUUUAUAUGGAGUUUGGCUUUGUAGUAUCUUGUAUUUGGUUUGAUGUGGUGGUUGUCGUGUCAAGCCUAGCUGGCUCGCAAUUAGUUGUAUUGUGGUUUUGUGAUCGUUAUUUAUGAUUUCCACUGUGUUUUACUUUCA